ACUCUGUUUGCAUAUCCACUCACACCUGUGCACCCUCCGUAGUUCUGCAGCCUGGGGGCUCUGUCCCCCCUGCCGUGGUUCUAUGUGUUUACACACACACACACUGUAAUAAAGUCUCAUGGAAUGUAUGCCGCGUUUAACGCAAUACAAUACAACUUUCAGCAACGGAUCUCUUGGCUCUCGCAUCGAUGAAGAACGCAGCGAAAUGCGAUAAGUAAUGUGAAUUGCAGAAUUCAGUGAAUCAUCGAAUCUUUGAACGCACCUUGCGCCCUUUGGCUAUUCCGAAGGCAUGCCUGUUUGAGUAUCAUGAACACCUCAACUCUCAUGGUUGCCAUGAUGAGCUUGACUCUGGGGUCUUGCUGCCUACGGUCAGCUCCUCUCAAUGAAUCAGCUUGCAGUGUUUGGUGGCAUCACGGGUGUGAUAACUAUUUACGCUUGUGGUUUACA
rnacentral:rRNA from 1 species